AUUGAACGCUGGCGGCAGGCCUAACACAUGCAAGUCGAGCGAGCGGCGGACGGGUGAGUAAUGUCUGGGAAACUGCCUGAUGGAGGGGGAUAACUACAGGAAACGGUAGCUAAUACCGCAUACCAUUCGAUGUGAGCAGAUGGGAUUAGCUAGUAGGUGGGGUAACGGCUCACCUAGGCGACGAUCCCUAGCUGGGCUGAGAGGAUGACAAGCCCAUCGGGAACUGAUACACGGUCCAGACUCCUACGGUAGGCAGCAGUGGGGAAUAUUGCACAAUGGGCGCAAUCCUGAUGCAGCCAUGCCUGUUGUGUGAAGAAGGCCUUCGGAUUGUAAAGCACUUUCAGCGGGGAGGCGUUACCCGCAGAAGAAGCACCGGCUAACUCCGUGCCAGCAGCCGCGGUAAUAC
rnacentral:rRNA from 1 species